GCAUAUCAAUAAGCGGAGGAAAAGAAACCAACAGGGAUUGCCCUAGUAACGGCGAGUGAAGCGGCAACAGCUCAAAUUUGAAAUCUGGCGUCUUUGGCGUCCGAGUUGUAAUUUGCAGAGGGCGCUUUGGCAUUGGCAGCGGUCCAAGUUCCUUGGAACAGGACGUCACAGAGGGUGAGAAUCCCGUACGUGGUCGCUAGCCUUUACCGUGUAAAGCCCCUUCGACGAGUCGAGUUGUUUGGGAAUGCAGCUCUAAAUGGGAGGUAAAUUUCUUCUAAAGCUAAAUACUGGCCAGAGACCGAUAGCGCACAAGUAGAGUGAUCGAAAGAUGAAAAGCACUUUGGAAAGAGAGUUAAAAAGCACGUGAAAUUGUUGAAAGGGAAGCGCUUGCAGCCAGACUUGCCUGUAGUUGCUCAUCCGGGUUUCUACCCGGUGCACUCUUCUACGGGCAGGCCAGCAUCAGUUUGGGCGGUUGGAUAAAGGUCUCUGUCAUGUACCUCCCUUCGGGGAGAUCUUAUAGGGGAGACGACAUGCAACCAGCCUGGACUGAGGUCCGCGCAUCUGCUAGGAUGCUGGCGUAAUGGCUGUAAGCGGCCCGUCUUGAAACACGGACCAAGGAGUCUAACAUCUAUGCGAGUGUUUGGGUGUCAAGCCCGAGCGCGUAAUGAAAGUGAACGGAGGUGGGAACCUUUCGGGGUGCACCAUCGACCGAUCCUGAUGUCUUCGGAUGGAUUUGAGUAGGAGCAUAGCUGUUGGGACCCGAAAGAUGGUGAACUAUGCUUGAAUAGGGUGAAGCCAGAGGAAACUCUGGUGGAGGCUCGCAGCGGUUCUGACGUGCAAAUCGAUCGUCAAAUUUGGGGCAUAGGGGCGAAAGACUAAUCGAACUAUCUAGUAGCUGGUUCCUGCCGAA
rnacentral:rRNA from 1 species